GUUUGCUUGGUGGGGGAGUAAUAAGAACUGCUGCAUCCACUUGACCGUUUGCUGGAUUUUCCAGAUUAGGAACGGGGUUAAUUGAUUCAACGUAUGUUACAUGGUAACUCUCUGUUGUGAAGUAUCUGGAACAAUAAUCAUAUGGACUCCUUCCUAUGCAUUCAAAAACAGCAAUAGCAUGGCAGCAAGGCAUCCCAUUCAAUUGCCAACUUUUGCAACUACAAUCCCAUUGAUCAAUAUCAACUACGUCAACAGACUCACCACGAACUUCAAAUGUACUUCCAUGCGAGGGUAACACAUGAAGUGACCCUGCUUUUGAGGUUUCACUCUGAAGUUUUUCUUCCAUCAAUGGUGUCAAUCUCGUAGCCCACUGACUGGACUCAACACGCCUAGUAUAGAUCAAUUCCAUUAUCUUCCCUCGUAAUACAUCAACCAUUUGAGUUAUCGGCAGC
rnacentral:misc_RNA from 1 species